AGCGAACGCUAGCGGCAGGCUUAACACAUGCAAGUCGAGCGCCAGGUUUCGGCCUGGAGCGGCGAACGGGUGAGUAACACGUAGGUCACGUACCCUAUGGUGGGGAAUACCCCGGGGAAACUCGGAUCAAUGCCCCAUAUGUCCGAAAGGAUUAAAGCGCUUCGGCGCGCCAGAGGAUCGGCCUGCGGCCCAUUAUUUAAUCCUAGUUGGUGAGGUAACGGCUCACCAAGGGUACGAUGGGUAGCUGGUCUGAGAGGACGAUCAGCCACACUGGAACGGAGACACGGUCCAGACUCCUACGGGAGGCAGCAGUGGGGAAUAUUGGACAGUGGGCGAAAGCCUGAUCCAGCCAUGCCGCGUGAGUGAUGAAGGCCUUCGGGUUGUAAAGCUCUGUCGUGGGGGAAGAAGUUCUGACGGUACCCCACAAGAAAGCACCGGCUAACUCCGUGCCAGCCGCCGCGGUAAGAC
rnacentral:rRNA from 1 species